rnacentral:lncRNA from 1 species
GGGGAAAAAGGCCUCUUGCCUCUUUUGCCUUCCUCUACACAAAGGACGCUGUAGCCUAGCAGCACAUUUAGCUGGCAAACACAGAGGCAAGUGACUAGAAAUAAUCUGCUACUUCCCCAACAGACGGACCACAGCCCCUUUUUCUUUUCUCUCUCUCUCUCUCUUUUUUUUUCCCUCUGUCGUGUACCCUAACAGCUAACUAGAAAACCUAGUGACCAAAAAGUUAGGGACUGCAGCAUAGCAGAGUCAGGGAAAGGAUUGAUGACCAGUGGCUUGAGAGAAAGACACAGACACACACAUGGGAUUUAAACAGCCUCAGGUCGCCACCUAACCCACUAGAGAGAGGAAAUUGAAGGGCAACCUAGCAGCCUUGGGCUGUAUUUGCAGUGGGUGACAGCACCCCCCAACCCCACGCCCUGUUCUGCGGCAAGCUGUGAAACAGGAUAGAGAAGUGCCAGUGGGGGUGAAACAGGAGGCUGUGCAAAGACCGAGUGGAGCCAACUGUACACAGGACUGGGAGCAGCGCCGGGCUUUCCCUGCCUGAGGGCGCCACAGCAACCCAUGGGGUCACUCAGAAGGCUGAGACUGGAGGAUCACUGCAAGGUCAAGGCCAGCCUGGGCUACAUAGUGAGUUCAGGGCCAGCCUGAACUAUCCUAUCCCUCUUAAAUUCCCCCCCAAGGUCCCAAAGAUGAGGACUCCAGUAAGGUACCCAGUGGAAGCGCCUCUCAGCAGGCAUCGGCCGACUUCAGGAGGCUCCUGAUCAACAGAAGCAAGACUGUACAGCUGGACCAUCUUCAAGGAGACUGGAAUUAGACUUCCUCUUUUGAUCUGAAGACCAUGAAAAAAUUUGAGGAUAUGUUUCUAAACCAUUACAGAAAUCUUCGAGAAGAAAUGGACAGCAAGGAAAGACACUGUGGAACAAAGUACACUGGCUGGAGAGGGAAAUAAAUUCACAUGAGGUUCGAUAUAAGCACCACUCUCUGGCUCUGAUGCCUCUUUGAUGUGGAGGGCAUGAUGAGCACCUGUGAUCCUAGCACCCCAGAGGCUGAGGCAGGAGGAUCUCCAUGAGUUCGAGGCCAGCCUGAACUGCAAAGUGAGACCCUGUCUGAAGAAAAUAACCAAAAUAAAC